AUUGAACGCUGGCGGCAGGCCUAACACAUGCAAGUCGAACGGUAACAGGAAGCAGCUUGCUGCUUUGCUGACGAGUGGCGGACGGGUGAGUAAUGUCUGGGAAACUGCCUGAUGGAGGGGGAUAACUACUGGAAACGGUAGCUAAUACCGCAUAACGUCGCAAGACCAAAGAGGGGGACCUUCGGGCCUCUUGCCAUCGGAUGUGCCCAGAUGGGAUUAGCUAGUAGGUGGGGUAACGGCUCACCUAGGCGACGAUCCCUAGCUGGGCUGAGAGGAUGACCAGCCACACUGGAACUGAGACACGGUCCAGACUCCUACGGGAGGCAGCAGUGGGGAAUAUUGCACAAUGGGCGCAAGCCUGAUGCAGCCAUGCCGCGUGUAUGAAGAAGGCCUUCGGGUUGUAAAGUACUUUCAGCGGGGAGGAAGGGAGUAAAGUUAAUACCUUUGCUCAUUGACGUUACCCGCAGAAGAAGCACCGGCUAACUCCGUG
rnacentral:rRNA from 1 species